rnacentral:lncRNA from 1 species
GGUGAACUCGUCACAAAAUCUUGAAUUAUCGUAGAAUUUGACUCAAGAAAUGGAUGUUUGAGAAGUUGUUUAGCUGUCCAUCUUUCAUUACCAUCUCUUCUCAAGCAUUUGUUUAAAAAAUCCCUUGCUUGUGAAGAGAGGAAUUUUGGUAUUUCAGGGGAUUGCUUUGAAAAUGCAAUUUUAUAAAGUAAUGAAACUGCGUUUGUCACAUUAUUCCAUGGCGAUCCACCGGUAGCCAUUUCAAUCAUUGUACAUCCCAAUCCCCAAAUAUCAGCUGCACACCCCUGUUCUUCCCCACGCGCCACCUCCGGUGCCAUGAACAUCGGCGUUCCUCCAAUCGCCUCUGCAUCCCCCUCCCUCUCCGCCGGAUCAAUCCACCUGGCACAUCCAAAAUCAGCAAGUUUGGCACCGGUUUCACCUAAUAAAAUGUUUUGCCCCUUUAUGUCACAGUGUGCUACGCCUCUUGAAUGUAAGUACUCUAAUCCUUGUACCAUUUGCUUCGUAUAAUACCCGAUCAACGGUUCGUUCAUCCGGCCACUCUGUUUUCGAAUUUCAUCGGAAAGUGUACCGUCCGGCAUAUACUCCAUCCUAAUAUUAAACAUGAGUUUAUCCUUCUCUUUGGUAACAUCAUAUCCCUUGUACCUAACUAUAUAAGGGGAGCUCAAUUGGGACAGAAUUUUCUGCUCCUUUUGCAAUAACUGUGACUUUGAUAGCUCCACUGACUUAACAGCAAAGACCUCACCUGACAAAAUUGAUUUGGCCGCGGAGACUGCAGCAGAGGAGCCGUGGCCUAUGGUAUGACCUCUGAUCCAAUCCAUUUAUGAAGAAGAAGAAGAUUGGUAGAAAGUGUAAGAAUAUAAGAAAAUGCUCUGUUUUUUGUUUGUUUAGAAGCUACAAUGGAGGCAUAUAUAUAUGGUGAAUUCCAAAUUAGUUGGGUAGACCUUAGGUGGCCUCUUUUUUCCCUUUUACUCCAUAUAGUUUGAAAAUUGAUUUACAACGUGGCCAAAUGGUAAUCAGUUAGGAAUUUUAUCAAGUGUCUCCAAUAUUCAAUAUAUAUUUCGUAUAAUAUUUCAUAUAUGAUAUAAUUUUUUCACUCUUAGACUAUGUGGAGGUCGAUCUUUAUGUGGCCAAUUGUGUUCUCACUACCUGCCAAAACAUUGAAGUUUAAACCGAUUUAAUCUUUCAAUUUAUAGUGAUUGAAACAAGUUGGAUGGUGGUAGAUUAAGUUAUUGUGUAACCACUUUUGAAGAUUAACCGAUAAAGGAGUAACUUUUCAUGAGAAUUUUUGGUUAAAGAACUAAUUAAAUUUUUUACCGAGUUCUUGAGAAUAUUCCAAUUUUUGGUAGGCAUUGAAUUUGUUACUACAUGCUUAUCCAUCAAAUUUACAAUAAAAAUUAAAUACCAAGAACAAGGACAAGCAUAAAGUCAAUUGAAUUUUUUUGGCAAAUUAUAGUAUUGCGAAGUCUUUAAGGACUUUAGGAAAAGAAACAAGAAGUGGAAGAUUACAAUCAAAGAUAUCUUUUCUAAAAUCAUGAGGAUAUGUAAUCUUUCAAGAUAGACAAAGAGUUAAAAUUUUAAAUAAUGGUUAAAUUGUCAAGUGUCAACUAAGUGAAAUAAAGACGAAAAAGGCAAUUGAGGAAACAAAACGAUAAAUACAUAUAUGUUUAUAUCGAAUCAAUGCAAUUUAUUAUCAUGAUUAAGUGAUUUUAAUAAAUCAAAGAAUUGCAUUUAUUAAUUAUUUUUAAUUUAUAGAUCAAAUUCCAUCUUAAUUUGGCUUUAUGAAAUUACAACUCUGUAUCAAGAUAACAAUUGUUAGCUUCACUAGCGUCAAAAUAGUUAUUAUCAGAGGAAGAGCCAACUUGGUGCUAGCUAGGGAUUCAUCCCAACACACCUUCAACAGAAUAUCAUAUAUUGUUAAAAUCAUUUUUUAAUUGUAUAUAUAGUAUAUGUCGAGUUCUUUUUAAUUAUAAUAUAUAUUUUAAUUUUUUCCCGUAUGGGAUCCUCUUGGUGAAAAUUCGAAUCGUCACUGCUCAUUACCGCCAAUAUCGUCAAAACUAUUUCUAAACGCAAGAUCAUUUCCUUCUAGAAGUAAUAUAUUGAGAUAUUGCUUUUUCGUGAUGCUAAAGUAAGAAUCAUAUAUAUACGUUGAGAGUUUAUUUAAACCAUUCCAAAACACAGUGACAAAAAGUUGGCCUUUUAGUAAGUGGUUGGUAGCUUCUACAUCAAGUGUGUGAAAAUUUAAUUCAAUGUGGCAAAGUGUGUUUUGUGAAAAGUGCAACAAUCAUACCUUCAAUUUUCCACAAGUUCCUUAUUAGAUACCAACUUCUUAACUAUUUAAAAUGUGUCUUCAAAUGGCUUGUGCACUUGGUGUGCAUACUAUUAAAGACACACAAUAGCAAUACCAAUGUAUUAUUUAUCUACAUAAUUAGAAUGGAAAUAAAAAAACUUCAACAAGUAGUCAUGCUAAUUUUUUUUAUCUUUAAAUAUAUAUCUGUUUAGUCAUAAAUUUUCGAUGAGAUUUAAACAUCUGUUCUAAAAAAAAUCUUAAGUUUAAAAAAUAAUUGACUUUAAAUCACGAAAGUUCUUUUUUAAACUUCAAAUACUCAAAUUUUCAAUCUCAAAAUCUAUAACUAAAUAUGAGGUAAUUAGAGAAUAAAUAGGUAGGGUUUAGUUUUUAAGUAAAAGCAAAAAAAACAAUAAAAAAAAUUGUAUCAUCCCUUGGCCUCAUGCCAUAUGACGCAGUACUAAUUUUAAAAAUUAGCAUCUAAAUCUAACAAUUAAAUAUUAUAGUAGAUUACAAAUCAACUGCCACUAAUUAAUUAUUUAAUUAAUGGUACUCCAUUUGCCAUGCCAUGCUGUCCCAUUUAUGGAGGCGUGGCUUGUGAGUUAGCUAAUGAUCAUGCGAGGUUGGUUUAAACCAUUUUUUAAAAAUUCCAAUUUAAAUAACAGUUGCAUGAAUAUUUGGGGAAAAAAAUAGGGAAGAAAAGUAUACGGUUUACGGGGCGGAGCUAGGGUGGUGUCAGUUUUCAGGAUAUUCACGUGUUUUUACAUUUUUUUUUUAAGUACUAUCAUAAAAAUAAAAAAUGGUAUAUACGUACCAUUCGUUAUAUUUAUCUAGAUUAUAUAUGUCCUUCAUUAGAUAUAUACACCGCUCCACCGGAAAUUUCCUCUGCCCCUACCGUACUCCAGCUUGGUAGUUUCCACCGCCUGUCCAGGGUUGAGCCCUGGGAUUUGACGGCGGAGUCAUUAUCUUAUCUACUAAUCUGAUAUUUAGUAAAUAUUGAAUUGACCGAUAAAAGUGUGCGACGUAUUCCUAUGGUAUAUGUCCAUUUUCCCAUUAAAAAAUGCACAACUUUGAGUUUUUAAAAUUGUUUAGAUAUGCAUUUUAAUUUAUUUAUUAUUGAAAUUUUACAAAUUAAUGUCCUUAAAUUCGAGAAGGUGGUCUCAACUAGUUUUUAGAACUUUAAAAAUUAGAUUUUUAAAAUCAAAUAAAAUUUCGUAAUCAAACUGAUAUGUAAAGAAUUAUUUUUUUUAAAAAAAAUGAUUUCAUAUCUAUGAUCAACCGCAAGUUAAAUUGAUUUUUUUGAGGAAAAGGAUAUUACUUUGUUAUUUAAAAAAGAUAUUACUUUGAUUCCGAACUGUUUAAAAUAACUGGAUGACAGAUGGGCUACUUAUGUUAAACCUCAUGAGUCACGUGUGACUUUAGCUUUCAGACAAAUUUAAGCUUCAACUUGUCGUGUGGUAUUGCAGGAAAUUACAGAUUCAUGUAUUUUAUUUAAGUAAGUUGUAAAACAAAUGAAAUUUACUAGCUGAGCUGCCUCAUUUUACACAGUUUUUGUGGCUUUUUUCCAAACUAAUAAGAAUUACGCUCUGAAUUCGAAUAUACUUCAUUUCUCUAAAAGCAAAAUAAUAAUAUUAUGUGUCUAUUUAUUUAAUUUUAUAUAAAUUAACGUGUAUACUCAUAUAAUGUCAGAUGGCUAUUGGCCGGAAACAAUAGAAAAUCUUUUUAAUAUUGCUGCAAGUAUCUGGGAUUUUUGGUUACUAUCGGAUCUGUACACUGAAUAUUACUGUAAGUAAUUAGAACAGAACAAAAAUUUACAGCAAGAUCAUUGCUCCAUGAGUUAUUCAUUAUUGCUGCUUCUAACUGUGAUCCACAUCUCGUCAUCAUUCCAUCUCCAAUUACAUUCUCCUGAAUUUGAACUCAAAUCUCUUAAUCUUUGCAGAGGAGAGCUAACUUCUUGUAAUAUUGUGGAAUACAUCGUUUCUGAAUUCCAUAUGUCUUGAUCAAGAAUGCUUGUUGGUGACUUCGUCACGAAAUUUUGAUUUGUUGACGUAGAAUUCAAGUUUAAUUCUUCAAGAAAUGGAUGUUUGAGGAGUUGUUUAGCUGUCCAUCUUUCUUUUGGAUCUCUUGUUAAGCAUUUGCUUAAGAAAUCCCUUGCUUGUAAGGACAGGAAUUUAGGUAUUUCAGGGGAUUGCUCUGAAAAUGCAAUUUUGUAAAGUAAUGAAGCUGCGUUUGUCACAUUAUUCCAUGGCGAUCCACCAGUAGCCAUUUCGAUAAUUGUACAUCCCAAUCCCCAAAUAUCUGCUGCACACCCCUGUUCUUCCCCACGCGCCACCUCCGGUGCCAUGAACAUCGGCGUUCCUCCAAUUGGCUCUGCCGGAUGAAUCCACCUGGCACAUCCAAAAUCAGCAAUUUUGGCACCGGAUUCACCUAAUAAAAUGUUUUGCCCCUUUAUGUCACAGUGUGCUAUGCCUCUUGAAUGUAAGUAGUCUAAUCCUUGUACCAUUUGCUUCGUAUAAUACCCGAUCAACCGUUCGUUCAUCCGGCCACUCUGUUUUCGAAUUUCAUCGGAAAGUGUACCGUCCGGCAUAUACUCCAUCCUAACAUUAAACAUGAGUUUAUCCUUCUCUUUGGUAACAUCAUACCCCAUGUACUUAACUACAUAAGGGGAGCUCAAUUGGGACAGAAUUUUCUGCUCCUUUUGCAAUAACUGUGACUUUGAUAGCUCCACUGACUUAACAGCAAAAACCUCACCGGACAAAAUUGAUUUAGCCGCGGAGACAGCAGCAGAGGAGCCGCGGCCUAUGGUAUGACCUCUGAUCCAAUCCAUUUAGGAAGAAAAGAAGAAAAAUGUAACAAGUUUUGGAAGUGUUCUUUUUUUAGUUUCUUUCGGAGCAGCAGCUAAGGAAUAUGUAUAGAGAGUUUUACGCAAAUUCAAAUUUAAUCGGAUAAAUAAAAAGAAAUGGAGUAGUAGAUAUAAUAAGGUGGAAUUUCUAGGUGGCCACUUUACUCCAUAGUGUUUGGGAAUUGAUUUACAACGUGGCUAAAUGGUUAUGGCCAUGCGGCAGAUUGAGUAGGCUUAAGAACUACACUUACUUGCCCAAUUGGAUUUUUUUCUCCACGUGGCAAUACAUUGCAUUUCAAACUUUAAAAUAAUACAUAUCAAUUUGAUAAGUUGGAUUGGGUUGUUUUAUAGGUGAUAGUUAAUGAAUAUCUUUUCGAGAGAGUUGGUUGAAGAACCAACAAAAACUUUCUACGGACUUCUUCACAAUAUUCCACUUUUUGAUAGGUUUCAAUUCAUUGACAUUUGUUGCAUGUCUAGUCCCACCAAAAUUUUAUAAUAAUAUUCAAUUCACAAAACUUGACAAGCAUGAAGUCAAACGAAAAAAUUUGGCAAAUUAUAAAAUUGGCAAGUCUCUUAGACGUUAGGGUAAAAAACAAGAAGUAGAAUAUUAUAUUGAUUAUAAUUUUCAUAAAUUUCAUAGUAAAAAGUUAAUUACAUUAAAUUUUUAGCAUUUUUUAAAUUAUAAUAAUUCCUUAAAAUAUAUGUAUUUUAAAUAUAUCACACUGAACUUUCAAAUAUAUUAAUGGACAUAUAUAUAGGAGAUGUAUCCGAGAGAAAAUGAAUGUAUCAAAGAGAGGAUAUAACAUUCACACACAUUUGUAGGAGAGGAAUAUAUAGGGAGAAAGUACCGGAUAGAGAAGGGAGGGAUAUGAUGUAUCCGAGAGAGAAAGAAUGCAUCAAAGAGGGGAGAGCUUUAACGUAUCCGAAAGAGAAGAAAUGUAACAGAGAAGGUAAGAAUAUGGUGUAUUCGAGAGGGAGAUAUGAAUGUAUCAACAAGAAGCAAGUGAUGUAUUUAAAAGGGAAUUUUAAAACUUUUGUUAAAAGAUAAAUUUUUUAGAAAAAUUAUGAUAAAUAUAAGAUGUGUAUUUAAAUAAUUUUUUCUUAUAUGAACUAUAUGCGCCAAAGUUUACUAUCAAAGAGUUGUCUUUUGUAAUCUUUAAGAAUAUUUAAUGUUUGAAAAACAAAUAGAGAUGAAAAAACAAAGGGUUAAAUUUUUGUUCUGUUUCGAAAAGCAUAUUAUAUUUUUUUUCAAAAAUCAAAUUUAAUUAAUAUUCGUAAGAUAUUGUUUUUUCCAUCAUGCUAAAGGAAGAAUCAUAAAUCAUAUACACGUUGAGAAGCUUUAAUCCAUUAAAAUAACAGUGACAAAAAGUUAGCUUCCCAAUCAAGUGUAUGAAAAUCUUUCAAUGUGGCAAAAUGCGUUUUUCCCAAUCAUACCUUCAAUUUUCCACAAGUUUCCUUUGAUGCUGACUUCUCAACUAUUACUGGUUAACUUAUAUUUAAAAUAAUGUGCGUAUAUUAUAAACGGCACACAAUUUCAACGUAUCUAUACAUAAUAAUAAUAAUAAUAAUCAUAAUAAUAAUAAUAAUAAUAGUAAUUAUAAUAAUAAUAAUCCCUUGACUUGAAAUACUCCACAAAAUGUCACGCGUAUAUGGUGUGUAUAGGCAGUAGCAGUUUCAGUACAUAUAUACAUAAAUAAUAGUCUUUGACUUAUAUACUUGAUAUGUAAUUUUUUUUUGGUAUGUAUAUAAUAUGAUUUCCCGACGAAAGUUUUCAAAGGUCAAUUGAUCGCCUUUCAUGGUUUUAGUGAUUGUAUUUCGGAACAGAGGCAAAGUUAGGUGGAGUUUGUGGAUUUAAAAAAACUUAAUAGAUUUUUUCGUAGAUUUUGUAUUUAUACUAGAAAAUAAUUAUAUAUAUAUAUAUAUAUAUAUAUAUAUAUAUAUAUAUAUAUAUAUAUAUAUAUAUAUUAAUUUGUGAACCCCUAACAAAAUUAAUUGCCGUUCUAAAAGAAUAUAGAACUCUCAAAAUCUUUAUUAUGGUUUCGCCUCUGCUUCGGAGAGUACAUGUAUUAACAAAGUCGCACUAAUUGAUAUAUUAUUAAGUAAAAUUGAGUUGCAAAAUGUAUUAACUAGAAGAUAUAAUAGUGAUUUGACUUCAACGAGAGGUUAAAAGAACAAAUAUGGAAUAAAUGUGUGAAAGAAGUUGCAACAAAUUUCACCAAAUAAAUGUAAAUGAAUUUGUCUCUUUGAAUAAGUAACAUUUAGGUGGGCUAGUAGAAAACUAAAAGCCAAAAUCAAUUUUUUUUAAAAAAAUAUCAUUUAAAUCUACCAAAUCAAGCAGAUAUUAUAAUAUAUCUUAUUUUCUUCAAAUUUAAUUUAAUUGUUUUACUUUCAUUUUUAAUCUGUUUUUAAGAAGAACAUAUUUUUUUUACAACUCUUUAUCUUUAGUUUCCAUGUGUUAAUUUCAACAUCAGAAAAUAUGUUGACACAUUUUAUAAUUUCAUUAUCAUUAUAAGCUUGUGUCAAAUAAAACACGAAAUAAUUCAACAACCAUUUAUUGACGUACCAUGCUUUCCCAUUAAGGCGUGGUUUGUGAGUUAGCUAAUGAUUAUGUGAUAGUUAAGCUCAAGUCACGUGGCUCUUAACUUCAAUACAAAUUUAAGCACUUUAAUUUGAAUUGAUUAGUCUCCUUAAUUAUUUUCUUGAUGAAAGAAGUUGGUUGAAAAAGAAAUCAUUCAUUGAAUAACAGGUAUUUAACAUAUGUUGACAUAAUUAACAGUCCAAUUUUUGGAUCCUAAGUGUGCGAUGUUAUCAAUAUCUAGCAUAUAGUCUCGUGACACAUAGCGCAGUCUUUUUUUAUUUGGCUUUAUUGUGAUAAAAAUAGUUUUUAUCGGUAAUAAAUAUUCGUAUUAAUAAAGAAUUUUAAAAUCUUAUUGACAUUAAUUAAUUGUCAUUAAAUCUAAUAUUGAUACGUAUUUUAGGAUAAUUUACAAAAAGUGUUACCCUCAGCCACAAAAAAAAAAACAUAUCAGGGAGAUUAAGUCAUUAUUAAUUAAUUGAUACUAAUUCUUUUUGGUAUAGUCUUGUUGAUGCCACGAUUAUCCUACUUUUACGGUUCUAAAAUUUUAUACUUCACCCGUUGAAAAAUCUUAAUAACUUGAAUGAUUGGCCUCAAUUUCCAAUCUUAUAAUCUCUUUUGCCAUUUUUUUUCUUUCCCAACUCUAAAAAUACCUCGUCGGUAUGUUCUUACUUGUCUAGAUUUGAUAUCACUACAACAAAAAUAAUUUUUAAUGGUAAUAAAUAUUGACAUUAAUAAAGAGUGCUAAAGUCUUUAUCGGCAUUAGUUAAGUGUCUUUAGAACCAAUGUCGCUAAUAUUAUAGUAACAUAUACAAAGAGUGUCAAUUGCCGCUAAGAAUACAUAUCUUGACAAUUAAGAUUUAAUUGUCGCUAAUAAUCAUUUCUGAUAUAGUGUAUAUUUCUUAAAAUAAUAAAUAAAUUGACAAUUUUACUAAUAUAUCAUUUUUUAUGCCGUAAUAUAUUUAAUAUUUAAAUAUAUACAUUAGAAAAUAACUAUACCUAAUAAUAAGGGCAAAUUAGAAAUGCUUAGAGAAUCUUUUGACAGUCGGAUCAUUUUUUCUUAAAUAAAUAAACCUACAAAAUCCUUCAUCCACCCCACCCCCAAAGAAGCAAAGGGGUCAUGUUGAUAAAUUAUGUCUUGUUUUAGAUUAUUUAAGUAAGAUAUAAUUUCAACUUUCAAUCUUUUGGAAACCGUAUGAGCCUAAACCAAGUUGACAACACUUGUCACUUAGUAGUAAGCAUGUCUAAACGUUUGUACGUAGAUGGAAAAUUAGGGAACAAAAUAAUUGAGAUGAGUUGGUUAGCCUACCAAUCGAAAAUAAUAGUAUUAAUAAUUAUAUGUAUAUAUAAGAUCACAAAAGAUUCACAUUCUUAUGCUUUGUGUUAAAAAUAAGAUUAGUUAAUGUAUAACCAGAUUAACAAGGGUAUGAAGUGAAAUGAGCUAAAAUACGAGUUAUAAUUCAGUUUUCAAUUGGUCUGAAUCAUCCUAGUACAGGAUCAUGUUAAACUUUUACUUUAUAUUGUUUUAGUUUUAUCAGAUGUGCGCAAAAGAACAUAUCAUUUAUAGUCCAAUUUAUAAUUAUUUUAUUUGCUCUUUCAAAAAAUAAUCUUACGACCUAGCUAAUAAUUUAUAAACGAAUCGUACCAAUUUGAUAAUUAAAAGAAAUGAUUUUUUUUAAAAAAUAAUUUAAGAAAGGAAACAUAGAGUAUAGCACAUAUCUUAUUGGAUUAUUUAGAUUCAUGUAUAGUGGCAGUCGAACCAUAUUUGCUUUGUUGUUAGCCGACAAAUUAAUGUACAAUGUACAUGUAAUGCACUAAUAAAAAAUUAAAAACUUGUUAGUGGAUGAUUUAAGAUCGUUCCUUUUUCUAUUACUACCUAGAUAGGUUUGAAACUCUCUCAUAUUUUACAAUACUAGAUACACGAUUCCGUACCAGCAUGGAGCCUAAUAUUCAUUUGUGUCAUAUUAUUAAUUAUUUUUUAUUUUAAAUUAUAAAUAAAAAAUUAAUUUUACUAAUUUAAUUGUUAAAAAGUUUUGUGAAAAUUUUACAAAUAAAUAUGACUUUUUAAUAAUAAUAAAUAUAUACAUAUUGAAUAUUAAGAAAGUAUGAAAAAUAUCUUUAAAUUAUGUGAAAUUUAAAAUAUAUGUUUGUUAAUUAUAUUUGAUCUAAUUAUGGCUCUACUGUUAAUUUAAUUUAAUAGUGGUAAUUUGCCUUUAUUCAUACCAAACCUAAUAUAUAGCAUAACUUAGAAGAAUAAUUAAAAUAUUUUUUAGAAUUAAACUUUUUUUUUAUGAAAUAUCUUAUGAAUCGCACUAAAUAAGUCUUAUACAGUAGGAAAAUAUUUUUUUUCAAAAUUUGAAAAAGUGUAAAGUGGAUUAAAAAAUGACCAAGAGAUGUCCACUACAAAUCAUGUCCACAUAUCAUUUUGUUGCAUCUUUUUUUGUUGGCCUUUUUAUCUUAGUUCUUAUCUCUCCUUUUUCUUUUCGAUGUGUUUACAUUCACUAAACGACUAAAUUUCAAAGUUUAUUUCAAUCUAUUUUACUUGUAGUAGUCACUCUCCUCACGUGUUGGUUAUCCUCAUUUUUCAAUUGGAGUAUUCUUUCUGCUAAUACAAACUUUAGCAAACUGACAAAUCGAUCAAAAUUAUAAUUUCUUGACAGUUGGCAAGAGAUAAUAUAUACUCUUUUUUUUUAUUUUAUCUGUACAGUGUUUGUAUAGUACAAAAUUUACAGCAAGUUUUCACGGUUCAUGACUUAAUUCUAACUGUCAUCCAUCUCUCAUCAUCAGUCCAUCUACAAUUCAAUUCACCUGAAUCCGAAAUUAAUUCUCUUACCCUUUGCACAGGACAGAUAACUGUUUCUAAUAUCGUUGUUUCUGAAUUCCAUAUGUCUUGAUCUAAAAUGCUUGUUGGUGAACUCGUCACAAAAUUUUGAAUUAUCGUAGAAUUUGAUUCAAGAAAUGGAUGCUUGAGGAGUUGUUUAGCUGUCCAUCUUUCUUCACAAUCUCUUCUCAAGCAUUUGUUUAAAAAAUCCCUUGCUUGUGAAGAGAGGAAUUUUGGAAUUUCAGGGGAUUGCUCUGAAAAUGCAAUUUUGUAAAGUAAUGAAGCUGCGUUUGUCACAUUAUUCCAUGGCGAUCCACCAGUAGCCAUUUCAAUCAUUGUACAUCCCACUCCCCAAAUAUCAGCUGCAAACCCCUGUUCUUCCCCACGCGCCACCUCUGGUGCCAUGAACAU